rnacentral:rRNA from 1 species
AGAGUUUGAUCAUGGCUCAGGACAAACGCUGGCGGCGUGCCUAAAACAUACAAGUCGAACGGAAGCUUCUUCGGAGGCUUCAGUGGCAAACGGCUGAGUAACACGUGAGCAACCUGCCCGGACGUGGGGGAUAACUCCGAGAAAUCGGGGCUAAUACCGCAUGUGGUGCGAUGCUGCGAUGCAUCGCAAGAACGCAGCAAUGCGCGUUCGGAGGGGCUUGCGGCCCAUCAGCUAGUUGGUGGGGUAACGGCCUACCAAGGCGAUGACGGGUAGCUGGUCUGAGAGGAUGAUCAGCCAGACUGGGACUGAGACACGGCCCAGACUCCUACGGGAGGCAGCAGUUAGGAAUCUUGCACAAUGGGCGAAAGCCUGAUGCAGCAACGCCGCGUGGAGGACGACGGCCUUCGGGUUGUAAACUCCUUUUGUUGGGGAAGAGAACGGACGGUACCCAGCGAAGAAGCCCCGGCUAACUACGUGCCAGCAGCCGCGGUAAUACGUAGGGGGCGAGCGUUGUCCGGAUUUACUGGGCGUAAAGAGCGCGUAGGUGGUCGUGCGCGUCGGUUGUGAAAGUCUGGGGCUUAACCCCAGAAGGUCAGUCGAUACGGUGCGACUUGAGGGCGGCAGAGGAAGGUGGAAUUCCGGGUGUAGUGGUGAAAUGCGUAGAGAUCCGGAGGAACACCAGUGGCGAAGGCGGCCUUCUGGGCCGUUCCUGACACUGAGGCGCGAAAGCGUGGGGAGCGAACUGAAUUAGAUACUCAGGUAGUCCACGCCCUAAACGGUGGACACUAGGUGUGGGGGGUAUCGACCCCUCCCGUGCCGAAGCUAACGCAUUAAGUGUCCCGCCUGGGGAGUACGGCCGCAAGGCUAAAACUCAAAGGAAUUGACGG